CUGCCUCUAGGAGCCUGUGGAACGGGAAUAGUAAUAUUGUCCUAUAAGAUCAUUGGGAGUUUUAAGUGAUGUGACCACUCUUACCCCAUUUGCUGGUUUUAUUUUCUUGACAACAUUUAUUACUGCCUGAAAGACAAUAGCCCUUGUUUAUAUUCUGUCCAUUGCUCCUCCUGCCCUGGUGUAAGUUCAAUGCUAUUUUCCCAAUGUCUAGGGACAGUGCUCGGCACCUAGUAACUGCUUAGUAAAUAUUUACUGUAUGAACAAAGGUGAAAUUAACGCUUUUGUAAAGCACAUGGUAGAGACUCAAUCAUUGGUAUUUUUCCUUCUCAAGAGUUUAGGUUUACCUCUAUGCUCACUGUAGCAGCCUGUGGCUCAGAAAUGACCUGGACUCAACACUGUACGACUCAAGCCAUGGAAUUCAGCAGAAUCCUCAUCGUUUGGGCCAAACAGGGUACAGUUUGAAGGCAUCUGCUUCAAAAC
rnacentral:lncRNA from 1 species